CAAAACGUAGCUUAAAUCAAAGCAUCCGGCUUACACCCGGAAGAUCUCACAACAAAUGAUCGUUUUGA
rnacentral:tRNA from 1 species